AGAUGACUUUUUUUUUCUUACCCCCCUCAGACAUGCUGGCUAUGAAAUGGUUGGGGUGGUAUCCCUUUAAUGAGUGAUCUCACACUGGGCGUCCUUAACCCUGUCUUACGGUGGCCAACAGAGCUCCACAAGUGAGAGCGCCAUUGCAAAAAAGCGGUGUGAGGAAAAAAAAAUCAAAUCCGUAGCAAAUAGCCCGAAGGAUAAAGUUCAAGUAGGCACACAGAAGUUGCCGCAGCGGUGAUUAUGAUCCAAGUGGAUUUAUUGACAACGGACGGCUUGAAAGUUUGAAGACGGCCCAGUUUUGAGCAGUAGGGAGCAAUUGCCAGGAUGAACAGUCUCCAGCAACUCCCGACCCACUUUAAACAUCCUCGUGGCAAAACCGCGGAAGGGCUUCGACGUGCAAGUGCCUUUGAAGAUUUGAGCAGGAAGGCGUGAGAAAAGUCCCAAGUCCGUCCUCAAAAGCUAAAACACGACAAUGGUGCUUUCCUUGCGUGCCAUGUAGCCGCGACCAAAUACAGGAAGGAGACAGUGACACGACGGCAUAUUUAUUUUUGCAAUGACAAUAAACAUUGACAUUAAAUUGCACAUAUUGUACAUUUUUUGUCCAUUUCACAUUCACAUUGCACUCAGGAUGAUACUUCAGUCUUGGACGAUACUCGACAUUUCAAUUUUCUACAUCCAGGCUUUUCAUAUCGAUUGCGGUUUUGGGGUGAGGGCGGGGGGGUGAACACAGAUGAUAUCAUACAAAAUCUAAAUACCAAAAAAGUUUUAUUGUCAACCUGUUCCUCGACCGCUAAAAGAAUGAGCUCUGUCAGCCACCGUAGUGUCCCGUCCAAAACCCCGCCAUGCCAUCUGCAGUCCGCCAAAUAUAAUUUCCCCCUCAGAUGAAUAUUUUAUUAUUCUUGUGAGUAGGACAAGACCAAAUGACCCAGCCAAAGUCGAGCAGACUCCGCCGUUUCCCUUGCGGUGCAGUCUUGCAUUUGUGUUUCCACGCUGGCUCACGUGACUUGCCGCACGUGCGCGGCCGAGCGUUGAGGGGCUGCUCUCGUGAGGAGCGAGGAGAAUGUCAAGGGAGGAAAGGCGAAAUUUCAAUGUCUUCUCCCAUGUGUCCUUUGGUUUGAAACCUGAAAACACCCUUUCAAGAAAAAAAAAAAAAAAA